rnacentral:rRNA from 1 species
CGGAGGCAGCAGUGGGGAAUUUUCGGCAAUGGGCGCAAGCCUGACCGAGCAACGCCGCGUGAGGGAUGAAGGUUUUCGGAUCGUAAACCUCUGUCUUCAGGGACGAUAAUGACGGUACCUGAGGAGGAAGCCACGGCUAACUACGUGCCAGCAGCCGCGGUAAUACGUAGGUGGCAAGCGUUGUCCGGAAUUACUGGGCGUAAAGGGCGUGUAGGCGGCCUUUUAAGUCAGACGUGAAACCCCUGGGCUUAACCCAGGAACUGCGUUUGAAACUGGAGGGCUUGAGGACCGGAGAGGGUAGUGGAAUUCCCAGUGUAGCGGUGAAAUGCGUAGAUAUUGGGAGGAACACCAGUGGCGAAGGCGACUGCCUGGACGGCACCUGACGCUGAGGCGCGAAAGCUAGGGGAGCAAACGGGAUUAGAUACCCCGGUAGU